rnacentral:rRNA from 1 species
UACGUAGGGUGCAGGCGUUAAUCGGAAUUACUGGGCGUAAAGCGUGCGCAGGCGGUCUGCUAAGAGAGGUGUGAAAUCCCCAGGCUUAACCUGGGAACUGCAUUCGAGACUGCAUUGCUAGAGUAUGGGAGAGGGAAGUGGAAUUUCCGGUGUAGCGGUGAAAUGCGUAGAUAUCGGAAGGAACAUCAGUGGCGAAAGCGACUUCCUGGACCAAUACUGACGCUCAUGUGCGAAAAGCGUGGGGGAGCAAACAGG